CCUACGGGAGGCAGCAGUGAGGAAUAUUGGUCAAUGGGCGUAAGCCUGAACCAGCCAAGUCGCGUGCGGGAUGACGGCUCUAUGGAUUGUAAACCUCUUUUAUAAGGGAAUAAAGUGCGGUACGUGUCCCGUUUUGUAUGUACCUUAUGAAUAAGGAUCGGCUAACUCCGUGCCAGCAGCCGCGGUAAUACGGAGGAUCCGAGCGUUAUCCGGAUUUAUUGGGUUUAAAGGGUGCGUAGGCGGCCUUUUAAGUCAGCGGUGAAAGUCUGUGGCUCAACCAUAGAAUUGCCGUUGAAACUGGGCGGCUUGAGUAUGUUUGAGGCAGGCGGAAUGCGUGGUGUAGCGGUGAAAUGCUUAGAUAUCACGAAGAACUCCGAUUGCGAAGGCAGCUUACUAAACUGCCACUGACAUUGAUGCUCGAAAGUGUGGGUAUCAAACAGGAUUAGAUACCCGAGUAGUC
rnacentral:rRNA from 1 species